UGACCCUAAGGAUUUGGUGUUCACUUUGUUCAUGCCAGGGAGCAAAAGAAUGUUUCAGGUCAUGUGGUUCUUGAGCUUAUUUUCCUAACAGGCACUUUUUACCUCGAUGGAAAUGUGAGCAGCUGAUCAGACAAGGAGUCCUGGAGCACAUCCUGUCAUGACCAUGCGCCGAGGCACUUCCAGGCUUCACUCAACUCAUGGACUCCUCUGCUUUGUUAUCUUUCCACGGUGCUGUGACAUUUUUCUCCUGCAGAAAGGAGAAGACAUGCCAGCUUUGGGAUGGCGGCUGCCCCGGGAAGAGGGAGGAGGCUGAGAACAGAACAGGCUCCCGCCCUCCACAGUGCUGUGGCAGGAUAUUAUUCUUACUAGAUAUGUUGAUGGGCACAUGGGUGUUUC
rnacentral:lncRNA from 10 species